GACGAACGCUGGCGGCGUGCUUAACACAUGCAAGUCGAACGGAAAGGCCUGCUUUCCCUUGUGGAUUGCGGGUACUCGAGUGGCGAACGGGUGAGUAACACGUGAGUGUUCUGCCCCCAACUUGGGUAUAAGCCUGGGAAACUGGGUCUAAUUCCCGCUAGCACUGCAGGGUGGUGCCUGUGGUGGAGAACGAUUUUCUAGUGGUUGGGGUUGAGCUCUCGGCCUAUCAGCUUGUGGGUGGGGUAAUGGCCUACCAGGGCGGGGACGGGUAGCCGGCCUGGGGGAGUGGGCGGGCGCAUGUGAACGGAGACACGGCCCAUGCGCCGACGGGAAGCAGCAGUGGGGAGGAUUGAACAAGGGGCGGAAGCCUGAUGCAGCGACGCCGCGUGGGGGAUGCCGGGUUUCGGGUGGUGAACUCCUUUCGACCGAGAGGAAUCGACCUGGUUGGAGGGGGGGUGACGGUAGUGGGAGAAGAAGCACCGGCUAACUACGUG
rnacentral:rRNA from 1 species